rnacentral:rRNA from 1 species
AAGCGAACGCUGGCGGCAGGCUUACCUCAUGCAAGUCGAGCGGGCAUAGCAAUAUGUCAGCGGCAAACGGGUGAGUAACGCGUGGGAACGUACCUUUUGGUUCGAAACAACACAGGGAAACUUGUGCUAAUACCGGAUAAGCCCUUACGGGGAAAGAUUUAUCGCCAAAAGAUCGGCCCGCGUCUGAUUAGCUAGUUGGUGAGGUAAUGGCUCACCAAGGCGACAAUCAGUAGCUGGUCUGAGAGGAUGAUCAGCCACAUUGGGACUGAAACACGGCCCAAACUCCUACGGGAGGCAGCAGUGGGGAAUAUUGGACAAUGGGCGCAAGCCUGAUCCAGCCAUGCCGCGUGAGUGAUGAAGGCCCUAGGGUUGUAAAGCUCUUUUGUGCGGGAAGAUAAUGACGGUACCGCAAGAAUAAGCCCCGGCUAACUUCGUG